GACAGAGGUCCCGAGCGUUAGGCGGAAUCACUGGGCUUAAAGCGUGUGUAGGCGGAUUUGUAAGUACCUUGUGAAAUCCCACGGCUUAACUGUGGAACUGCUUGGUAUACUGCUUAUCUUGGGCCACUUAGGGGUUACCGGAACAAACGGUGGAGCGGUGAAAUGCGUAGAUAUCGUUUGGAACGCCAAUGGUGAAAACAGGUAACUGGGAGUGUGCCGACGCUGAGACACGAAAGCCAGGGGAGCGAACGGG
rnacentral:rRNA from 1 species